rnacentral:rRNA from 1 species
CGCGUAGGCGGUCUGUUAAGUGGGAUGUGAAAUCCCCGGGCUUAACCUGGGAAUUGCAUUUCAAACUGGCCGACUAGAGUACGGUAGAGGGAGGUAGAAUUUCCUGUGUAGCGGUGAAAUGCGUAGAUAUAGGAAGGAAUACCAGUGGCGAAGGCGGCCUCCUGGAUCGAUACUGACGCUGAGGCGCGAAAGCGUGGGGAGCAAACA